GGGGAUUUAGCUCAGCGGCAUAAGCGCCUGCCUUGCAAGCAGGCAGUCGUGAGUUCAGUCCCUG
rfam:Cavia porcellus supercont2_4 genomic scaffold, whole genome shotgun sequence.